GGUGAGGUAACCCUUUCGGGAGCCAGCCGCCGAAGGUGGGACAGAUGAUUGGGGUGAAGUCGUAACAAGGUAGCCGUAUCGGAAGGUGCGGCUGGAUCACCUCCUUUCUAAGGA
rnacentral:rRNA from 1 species